rnacentral:rRNA from 1 species
CGGGUAAGUUCCGACCUGCACGAAUGGCGUAAUGAUGGCCACGCUGUCUCCACCCGAGACUCAGUGAAAUUGAACUCGCUGUGAAGAUGCAGUGUACCCGCGGCAAGACGGAAAGACCCCGUGAACCUUUACUAUAGCUUGACACUGAACAUUGAGCCUUGAUGUGUAGGAUAGGUGGGAGGCUUUGAAGCGUGGACGCCAGUCUGCGUGGAGCCAACCUUGAAAUACCACCCUUUAAUGUUUGAUGUUCUAACGUAGCCCCGUAAUCCGGGGUGCGGACAGUGUCUGGUGGGUAGUUUGAC